GGACAGGUGUCCGAGUGGCCGAAGGAGCACGAUUGGAAAUCGUGUAGGCGGGGUCGACCCGUCUCGUGGGUUCAAAUCCCACUCUGUCCGCCA
rnacentral:tRNA from 11 species